UAACCCUCUCUCACCUUCUCCCUCCCCUUUCACAGAGAUGAAAUGAAAAGGAAUUAAUGAGGACAGAUUAUUGGAUUAGGGCCCAUACUCAGGGCUCUAACAGCAUGGGGAGUUUCUCCUGUCACUUCAGUUCUUGUUCAGGAAUUGGCACCUGCUUUUUGUGAAUCACAAAUACCAGUGCUUUAUAUCAAGCCAUUUAGAUUUGGGCUAUGGAGCAGUGACUUAAAAAAAUUAAAUUUUAUUUUCAGAGAUUUUUUCUAUUAAUUGUUUACAUUUAUUUUAAUUGUAUAUUCUGAAACUGCUACAAAAGGGCUUGAAAUAAUUGUUUAAAUUUUAAUUCGUAUGGGUCAAAAUGUAUGUUAAACUACCUAUUGUCGCCUUCACAGUCGUUGUUAUGUUUGAGCCGGUUGUUGUGGCCACUUGUUACCAAGUAUGACUUUCUUCUCCAGGGACCGAUCUCUCCUGACAACAUGUCCAAAAUAUGUGAGAUGAAGCCUCGCCAUUCUUGCUUCUAAGGGAUAUUCUGGCUGUACUUCUUUCAAGACAGAUUUGUUCAUUCUUUUGGCAGUCCGUGGUAUAUUCAAUAUUCUUUGCAAAUACCGUAAUUCAGUGCCUUCAAUUUUUCUUUAGUCUUCCUUAUUCAUUGCCCACCUUUCGUGUGCGUAUGAGGUGACUGAAAACACCAUGGCUUGAGUCAGGCGCACAUUAGUUUUCAAGGUGACAUCUGUGCAUUUGAACACUUUAAAGAGGUCUCUGGUAGCAGAUUUGCCCAAUGCAAUGUGUCGUUUGAUUUCUUGACUGCUGCUUCCGUGGGUGUUUAUUGUGGAUCCAAGUAAAAUGAAGCCCUUAGUGAUGUCAACAUUUUCUCCGUUGUCAUGAUGUUGCUUAUUGGUCCUGUUGUUAGGCUGUUGGUCUGUAGUCUUUGAUUUUCUUCAGUAAAUGCUUUAAGGCCUCUUCACUUUCAACAAGCGAGAUUGUAUCAUCUGCAUAUCUCAGGUUAUUAAUGAGUCUUCCUCCAAUCCUGACGCCUUAUUCUUCUUCAGACAGUCCAGCUUCUCGGAUUAUUUGCUCAUCAUACAGGUCGAAUAGGUAUGGUGAAAGGAUACAAUGGAGAUGCACACCUUUCUUGACUUUAAACCAUGCAGUAUUCCUUGUUCUGUUUAGAUGACUGCCUCUUUUUCUAUGUACAGGUUUCUCAUGAGAACAAUUAAGUGUCCUGGAAAUCUCAUUCUUCCCCAUGUUAUCCAUAAUUUGUUAUGAGCUGGAGUAGGUCUCAGAAAUAAUGUGCCAUUUCUUCCAGUUGGUCCUGCACGGCUGCCUACUUCCCUAGGUGGUAGCAGGUAAGGCCUGUCUCAGAAACACUCCCCUCCUCACUAAGCAUGAUUCUUCACACUGCUCCAUCUUCUUUCCUGUGUGUGUCUCCUGCCCUCCUCAGUGGCUGGGGAAAAUGAUAGUAGUCCACUAUGAGAUUUAUUCUUUUAUUAUACUUUAUCAUUUGUUUUUAUAACAUAGUUCCGUUAAAAUCAAGGGUAAUAAAAAUGUUUGUGUGAUGGAAGUGGAUAAUCCCACCCAUUGUGUCCAUCUAAAGUUUCAUGAGAAAACUGUGCCCACAACAGAGGGCUCCCACUCCUCUGGCUCACUGUAUUUUCUCCUUGUUUAUUUGCUCUUCCCUCUUUCCUGAUGCAUGCAUGGAACCACUGAGCUUCAGGACUCCACAAUUCUCCUUUUCAUACCAGUGUUACUGUAAUCUUGGGUUCAUGGGCUGCCUUGCCACAGAUUUACUCAUUCUGUUUCUGUUAAUUAUUUCAUUACUUAAAAAUCUCUCAUGAAUUUUUCCAGAAGUACAUUCUAUUCCUCAAAAAAUUGGAAGCAAUGGGAAAGUAUGCAAUAAAUAACAAGAAAACAUACGUAAUGCAUAGAAUAAAUUAUUAACGUUCCGAUAUGUCUGUUAUCUUACUUACAUUGGCAUGUAUGCGUAUUAGAGUCUCUGGUUGAUGCAAAUGGUUAAUAUCUUGAGCUGCUGACAGAAAGUUGGAGUUCAGGUCCACCCAGAAUUGCUGUGAAAGAGAGGUCUGGCAGCCUACUUCCGAAAACUCAGCCACUGAAACCCCUAUGGAGUACAGUUCUACUCUGGCACAGUGGUGUCAUCAUGAAUCAGAACUGACUCAGUGGCAACUGGUUUCAUGUGUGUAUUAGCGCACACAUUUAUGUAUAUUAACACGGAUAUUAUAUCCUGAUAUUUUCAUUCAUCAUUAGUCUUUUCUCAUGAUAAAUUUUUUUUUUUUAAUGAGGGCAUUAAAUUACUUUAUAAUAUUCUGUGUGCAUGUAGUAUAUGUUUUUUAACGAUUUGACUAUAGUUGCAAUAAUAAAUGUGCAUGUUUCUAGUAAUCUUCAACGUAUACUUACAUCUUUUUAACAUACAUCUCUGCCAUUAAAUCUCUUUGUUUAAUUAUUGUUUAACACUCUUUACGCCUAAGAGAUGGUCUCAGAAGCAGCCCUGAUCAGUUUUUCUCCCUCUUACUCAUGAAGCCCCUUAAUGUAUCCCAAGGUAUCAACUACGAAGGAUUUUACGUACUUAUCGUUUGUUUAUUUUUCUUUCAGUCAGUAUAUUCCAUGGGCCAGAAAUAGUCUAUGUUAUGCAGAUACAGUGGUGAAAGGUACACACUGUCCCUGUCCUCAUGAAGGGGACAACCCAGUGCAGGUGGGAGGAGCACUGGGGAAAUGCAGCUGAGAGCAAGGACAGACAACCCUCCAGGAACCACACUGGACUUCAGAGAGGCUUGUUGGCUGCUGUUCACCUGGCAGGCUUCUAGAUACCCGAGUACCCUUGGGCUUGGUGCCUGCUCCUCUCUCUGUUGACACCCUCCCUCUAGGAUGCCUCAGUGAGUUUACUGCUAUCUAUUUGUAGCUAAGGACGUGAGGUUUAUACCUCCAUCCAUUCAAACUCCUCCUGGGUCCAGACUCAUAUAUUCAAAUGUGAGCCUAACUCUCUGUAUUGACCUCUUUAUGCAUUAUAAUGAUACAUUCCUCAUAUGGCCAUCAUGAAAGCAAACAUGAAAGGAAAAGCACAGGAGUGCCUGACACCAGUGUAGGUACUCAAUGAACAUUAGCCGUUGGUAUUAUCCUUGACAUCCCCAUGUGGGGUGAAGUUUUAUUACCUGACAUCUCCAUGUGAAUAUCUAACACCUACACCAUGUUAUCUAGGCUAUGAAACAAUUCUUGGUUCCAACCACCAUUCUUUUCUUAUCCAUGAAUUUCUCAAGGCUUUGGUGAUGGGAGUGUGUGUUUUUCCACACAAUGGAUGUGAUUAGGAAUGGUUGGCCAGGUCCUACACAAUAAAUUGCUCCAGCAUUCCUUUGGGUGACCAUUGAGACAAGUUUCAGCCAACGAAUGUAGCAAAGAAUUGGAACCACUCUCAGCUGUUCAUGCGAGUACUCUCAAUCCAGAAUAUCUGGUAAGUCGACUGUUAGGGAUUGAAUUGUGUCCCUCCAAAAUGUAUGUGGAAAUCCUAACCCCUGUACCUGUAAAUCUGACCUUGUUAGGAAAGAGGGGGCCUGCUUUUAUUAUGUGAAUGAGGUCAUACCAAUGUAGGGUGGGUCCUAAGCCUAACUCUUCUUAGUUAUAAAAGGAGCAGAAUGCACACAGACAGAAACAGGUGAAAAGGAAGACAGACAAAGAAGACAGAUGCUUCUAGAAGGCCAGGAACACAAAUGAUUGCUGGCAUCUACUAGAAGCUGAGGUAGACAAGGAAGGACCUCCCACUACAGCCAUGCCCUGAAUUCGAACGACUACCUGCUAAACUGUGAGAAAAUAAAUUUCUGUUCUUUAAAGCCAUCCAGUUGUGUUAUUUUUUGUUAUGGAGGGACUAGGUAACUAAGACACAUACCCGUUCUUAUAAGUUCAGCCCAGUGCAGAAUAAUUUUCUUCCCUCCUUGGUCUAGACCACCCGAACCUACUCUUUCCCUAUCAGUGUCCUUUGCUUUCACCUAAGAGCUAUGAUAGAGUCAGCUUGAUGCUGAUGCACUGAAAUUUCAAUUUAUUUUUUAUUUAUGAUUACUAUUAAUUCCAGUAUUUUCUACAGUUUUCAAUGGAGACAGUCCUAUAAUCUAUGAAUAGCAGUUAUACUUUUUCUCUUUUUGUACUAGCUUACACUUCCGGUGUUCAAUGUUUAAUAAAAGUAAUGAUAGAAGCACCCUUAUUUUAUUGUUUAUUAAUUUUAAAGAGAAUGUCCCACACGUCACCAUGAACUAUCAUGCUAGUUGUAGUUUUCCACGUUCGGGAACUCCUUUUCUGUUCCAUAUUUGCUCCUAGUCCUUAUCUCUCCGUGUGAUUGGAUUUUAUCAACCUGCUUUGCCCCCAUCUCUUGAGGUGAGCAUAUGUCUUCUCUUCUUUCACCUAUGCAUGUGGUGAGUGAAAUUACUAAAUCUUUAACGUUCACUCAAAUUUGUAUGCCUACAAUAAACCGCCUUGAUCAUGGCAUGUUACGUGGUUUACCCUUUGCUGGAUUUCCUUUGCUGGCAUCUUACGUAGGGUUUUGCAUCUCAGUUACUGAGUGUGCUUGUCCUCUAACUCUUCUUCUACCAUCCUUCUCUAAAAUUUGUUAUCAUUUUUAAACUAGGCUUAAGGAUCAAGUUACGGGAGUAUCUCAUGGUUUUCUAAUCUCUGUUGACUAUGUACAAGAUUAAAAUGACUGUUUCUUGCAUGUUUGCUGGAACCUGACUGGAAACGAUCUAGGUCUGCCGUUUUCUUUGUAGGGAGAUCUUGAACUACUGACCCAUUUUAUUUAGUGGUUAAAGGCAUCUUCUGGUGCUAAUUUACUUAGAAAAAAUUCUGAUGCAUGUUCUAGGUUGCUCGAAUCUCAUCUUCAAAUAUUGAUUAUCAGGGCUUGUAGCCUCAUGCAAGGCAAUUCAUCAAUCCCAGAUUUCCCCAAAGUCAGGCUCUGCAACUCUUCCCGGUACCAAAUUCCCUCAUUUAAGACUUAUUUGCAAAGAGACAACAGUAUGCUAUCUACGCAGUUGUUUAUCCGCAACCUUCUUGAGUCCAUAACGUGAGGAUACAGUCUUCUAAUACUUUUUUUGUAAUUGUUCUCUUUCUUAUUUUUUUUUCCUUUUUUCACUGCCAAUACCCCCCCCCCCAGUCUAGUAGUUUUAAAGUUGUGCGUUUCAGGUUCAAGUCUGUAAUCCAACUGAGCUUCUGUGUGUGCUGCAUGUGUGCAUCAAAAGAACGCGCUUCUAGAAGCAGAAAGCAGGCAGUGCGACUGCUGGGCGGUUGGUGGGGUAGGGGGAGGGGAGCUGCUGCUCAGAGAGGGCGCCCGAGGGAGGCAGGAGAUGCCGGGCUGCCCACCGCAAGCCCACAGGCUCCAAGGAGGAGGAACCUGCGUUCGCCAUGAGCCUUUUGAGACAGGCCCAAGCCCACCCAGCCGGGUGCUAACCUCGCAUCCGCCAGGCUUGCAGGUUCCACCAGGACUAGGGGAAGCCUAAGGCCGAGGAGGGCAAGGUCUAGGGUCUGGACCUGAGAACUGGUUCUGCCACUUGUGAUCGCAGCGCUUAUGCUGGAAAGGAGGGCAGGAAGCAUAUCGCAACGUGUGUCCGGACGAUGACCCAAAACGGGGGAGUUGUGGUCACCCACGGACUCUGGGUCUGCAUAUGGAGGCCCCCAGGGUGCAAUUCCAGGAGCAGAAGGCAAAGCCACAGAGGCCAAAGUGCACCUCGCCGAUGCUUCCCAGGGGCAUUUCCCCAAAUAUGGGGAGCAGUCCCUCCUCUGGGCUAGGGACUUUGUUUCCUCCAUUGUCAUCACUGACUGUGAGCAGACUCUUGUCUAGGCAGACUAAUGAGGAGUUAUCAAAAUGAGCUCCAAACUCCGGAUUUGAGUUAAGGAUCAUAAAUUAACACAGAGAAAUACGACUUUAGCAAUAAGUGACUGUUUGAAGCCCAAGUUGCCUUAAAACACGGAAUUUCAGUCUUUCAGCUCCUCUGCUAAUCUAGUGACUAAGAACAGGAUCUCACUGGAGCUCAAAGAUGUGGGGCACUGGGAAUACUCUGGGUCUGUCUGCUCACGGCUGAUUGCCUGAUCCCAGUUUUAUUAUACAGCUUAAAUACAGACCAGAAGAGGAGUUUGGGGCUUGACACCUGACAUCUUAACACCAGUUCCUGUUUCUUGAGGAAGGAAGAGGUAAAAUAAAUCAGCGUUUACUGUGUCCUUCUCCAUCCCCGGAAGUCCUGAUGAAGACCCUCUCAGGUAAGGAUUGACAGGGAGUGGCUUGGUUUACUAUUCGACUUUGUCCUUCAGUCACUUUGUUUAUGUCCUGUAUGUAAACUAUUAUGCAUUGACAGAAGCAUUCUAAUUCUUAUGCAGAAUGACUAGACCUGCUGCAGAAUGACUAUAUUGUGCCUCCCUUGGGCACCCCUGUCUGCGCAGCACCCCCCACCCCCAACUGCCCAACCGCCUCUCUCCUGGCAUUCUGCUUCUAGAAGCAUGUUCUUUUGAUGCAGAGAUGCAGCACACACAGAAUCCCAGCUGGAUUACAGACUUGAACCUGAAGACCUUAUGCAGAAUGACUAUUUAUGAACCCCUAAGCUUUUUAAGCUUAGUACUAAAGCAGGUACUUACUCCUCAGAGAAGGCCCUGGGGGAGGUUGAUACAUGCAUUCCCCAGCGCUCCUGCUGCUCUAGAAGUGCCUGAAAUGCCUCUCUGGGAAAGGCCUUCAGAUUAGGCUCAUGGCCCACGUGGGAAUUCAGGCCUAUUUUUCUGUUAGAACAUCUCAUUUCGCUCUGAAAAUGUUAUUAUCCAGUUUAUUCACCAGACAUGAGUACAGACAUCUCAUAUUUUCAAAAUAAUCCCAUUCUCUAAUACUAAUUUGCCACCAAGAGUAUAUUCCAAAGUGUUUCCAAUAGGCUAGAAAGUCUUUCCAAAGAGGGGAGUCCUGCGCCAUGUUGUGCAGUGACAUCAGGGUUGGCAUAAUAUGUUUACCCAGAUACCUACCACUUUUUAAAAAUUUUUUAUUGUGCUUUAUUUGAAACUUUACAGAGCAAAUUACUUUCUUGCUCAGCCAUUUAUACACAAUUGUUUUGUGACAUUGGUGGCAAUAUUCAUGAUGUGUCAGUAUUCUCUUCUAUGCUCCAGUUCCCCGUUUCCAUCCGCCAUGAUUCCUGUUCCGUCCUGCCCUCUUUUCUGUGCUUUUGGGCAGGUUUUGCACUUUUGGUCUCAUACACACGAUUGAACUAAGAAACACUUUCUUCACGUGUGUUAUUGUUUGUUUUAUAGACCUGUCUAAUCUUUGGCUGAACGGCAAACUUCAGAAGAUACUUUCGACUUUGUUGCUUUCCAUAAUUCCUGAAAUUCCAAGUCUACCACCUGAAGAACUUCCUUUAGUGUUUCAUUUAGAACAAGUCUGGUGGCGAUGAAUUCUCUUAAGCGUCCUUCACCUGAGAAUGUCAAUAUUUUUCCUUUACUCAUGAAGGAAAUAACAGCCUAUAGAACACUGGGUUAAUGUUUCUUUUCUUUCAGUGUUGAAAAAAUGUUGUUUUCACAGCCUUUUGGCCUCCAUGGCUUCUGAUGAUGAACACAGAGUCAUUCCAAUUGUUUCUCCUGUGUGAGAUGAGUUGUUUUCUCUCUAGCUUCUUUGAAGAUAUUUUCUUGGUCCUUGUUAUUCCACAAUUGACAGUGAGGCAUUUGGGCGUAAAAUUAUGUGAGUUUAACUUGUUGGAGUUUGCAUAGCUUCUUGAAUCUGUAAGUUUACGUCUUUCAACAAAUUGGGAAAGUGUUGAGCCAGUAUUUCUUCAGAUACUUUUUUCUACACCACAUAUUUUCUCUACACCAUAUGGAAUUCCAGUAAAUAAAUGUUAGAUAUUUUUGGAUUUUUUUGAGGCUCUGUUCAUUUUUUUUUCAAUAUUUGUCCUCUGUUUUCACAUUGGAUAUUUUCAAUUGAACUAUUUUCAUCUCAUUGAUCCUUUUGUCUGUCAACAGCAUUCUGCUGAUCAAGUGAAUUUUUUAUCUCUAUUUUUCCUGUCUAAAAUUUUCAUUCGUGAAUGGUUUCUAUGUAUUUUUCUAUUUUUCUAAGGUGUGCCCGUUACUUCUUUGAGCGUGGUUAAAGUAGCUUUUUAAAGUUUUUGUCUAUGAUUCCAAGACUAUGUCUUACUUCAAUCUUACAGAAAAUGUCGAUGUUGUUUGUUUUAGCAAUCACUUGACCCAGUUAUGUUCAGGCUGCAGGUUCUUUCCCAACUUCUGGAUGCUGUGGCUCAGAUGUCAGUUCAGAUUUUGAAGACUUUGCGAUGAUAUUUGGUUGUAAUCUAUGGGAGUGUCACUCAGUCUGGGACCUUGUUGGUGUUCUAACCCAUAAUGCAGUUCUCAAAGGAUUGAUCUACUUCUUAGGGUCAGAGCAAAGCAUAUGCAACUGUGGGAGUGGGGAGGGGUAUGAAAAACAACUUUAUGGUAUCCCUCUCUUGAGCCACCUGGUCUCUGUCUCUCUGAGGCUCUCUGAUGUCUGAGCAGCUACCUUCCUGGUCCACUGGCAAGAAUGUUGGGGCUUUAAUCUCUUCAUUCUGCUGUGCAAUUAAGUGACUGGGUCUGCCUAUGAGGCCAAAUAAUGGUAAGAUGGAGAAAAUGUAACAGAGAUUCCUCUAUAUUAUUUGGUCCUUAUAUACUUAGGUCAGAGAGAAGGCACACUGUUUCUGGUGAUACUUCCAAACAGGUAUGGAGAAAAAGGCAUUAACAGGUCGAUAGCUGCAUACUAGGUGUUACGGAUUAAACUCUGUCUUCCCAAAAUGUAUAUAUCAGCUUGACUAGGCCAUGCUUCCCAGUAUUGUGCGAUUAUCCACCAUUUUGUCAGCUGGUGUGAUUUUCCAAUGUAUUGUAAAUCCUACCUCUAUGAUGCUAAUGAGCGAAGAUUUGAAGCAGUUAUGUUAAGGAGGCAGGGCUCAAUCUACAAGAUUAAGUUGUGUUUUAAGUCAGUCUCUUUUGAGAUAUAAAAGAGAAAAGAGCAGAGAGACAGGGGGACCUCAGUACCACCAAGAAAGAAGUGUCAGGAGCAGUGCAUCCUUUGGACCUAGGAUCCCUGUGUUGAGAACCUUCUUGUCCAGGGGAAGAUUGGUGACAAAGACCUUCCCCUAGGAGUGACAGAGAGAAAGUCUUCCCCUGGAAUUGGCACCCUGAAUUUGGACUUAUAGAGCCUCCUGGACUGUGAGGGAAUAAUUUUCUUUGUUAAAGUCAUCCGUUUGUGGUAUUUCUGUUACAGGAGCACUAGAUAUCUAAGACACUAGGUACCAGGAGAUGUACAUUUCCCAGCUCUUUCACUCCCAGGGCCACUAUGACUAAGUAGCCAUUGCCAUAAAUCCAUGUGAGCAGACUAUUCUGAUUACUGCUUUGACUCUACUGUCUGUUAUGGUAACCACACCCACCUUGUCUUUGUUGAUUGAGUGCCACCACUUGGCUGCUACCACCACGGGGUCCAGUCAACUGCAUUGUAGUUAUGUGUCUUAAUUCAGUUAGGGCAGUUCUCACUGUGGACUCUUACUUACAUAAAAUAGCAACCACAGAAGUCUUCAAUAAUGCUGGGGCUUGCUGCACAAAUUUGUACCUCACCGCUAUGGUACAAAGAAAGCCCUCUGGGCACUCUGUGUGUGGGUCUGUGGGUCCAGCCUAAUAAAUCCAUUCUAACCUGCCAGUUUCCCUCAGCCUUUGGUUACCUUCUCCUACAGUAUACAAUGGCAGAUCUGCCAUUUCCACUUGAUUUAUUGUAGGCCACCACUUAAUCCAUGCUUCAGUAAACCAACCAAAUAAACUAUGAGAUCCUUUUCUAACCUCUCAAGCUGAAACACUGAAUGAAGAAUCUAUGCUUCCUGGGUCUAUAUCAAUAAACUCAGACUAAUCCACCUUUAUGUUGCUUGCACCAUUAUCCCACACCCAUAAUAGCCAUUCCCACACAUAUUCACCAGGUUUCUGUAUGUAUGUAUAUAUUAGAAAAAUCAAGCAGUUCUUUUGGAGUUUAGCAUACCGUCUCCUGGGUCACACUUCAUAGUUCACCUUUUGGGGCUUGUUGGGACUGAAGUCUAGGUAUAGGUCUAGAAGCAAAAAUGGGCAGUGGCAGUGGGAUGUUCAGCCGUGUCUUAUAAGGCAUCUGCCUAAGGUGAUGCCCCAGGCAAUGCCCCAGAUACGACCCUAGGAGAUAACUCAAACAAGACACUUCAGGCACAGCUGAGGGUAAUCUCAUUAGAUGGAGGUGGAAGGGAUAAUUGUUUUACUGGGAAGGGUGCCUUAGCAGGCAAAGUUAGAGAAUCUCUUCAGAUGGGAGUAAGAGGUCUGGUUCUGUUAGGAAGAGCGAUUCAACAGAAAUUGGAGGUUCAUUGUCCCCCGCUUCCUGACUGUCUGCCCAUAUGUCCUCAUCCCAAGUUUCAGGAUCCCAUUUCUUCCCAAUCAGUGCCCUCACUCUAACUUCAGACACCAUUUGAGGCUGGAUAUUCAACUGGCGCUUUAAUUCAGUCACUCUUAUGAUAAGAAUCUGAGUUUAUUUUUGGCAGCAUUAGCCUUGUUACUAUAAGAAAUAUGAUUUUCUUUCUGGGCACAAGUGGCAGCUUUCAGAUCUUGUAUGUGGUGCUUUAGCUUUGAGCCCAUUUCUUUCAUUCACCAGUGUGACUAGCAAAAGCAGGACUAACCAAGCAGCUUCCUUAUUAUUCUUAUUCUGACAAAAUUAUAGAAAAGUAUCAAAUAUGUAAUCAGGCAGAGCCUUGUCUCUCACAAAUAUUUGAUCCAGUGGUAGUAGUAUUUUGCGUAUUUCUAUUGUCACCUCCCACCAUGGAUUAGCAAUAGCCUGUUUACUACUGGAGACGGUCAUCAGUGCCUUUAAGACUAGCCAGACUUGAGAAUAAAUUCAGAAAACUCAUCCUUAAGAUUUGGUUCCUCUAGAACCACAGUAGGUACCAAAUGUCUUAACUGGGAUCUCUAGAGAUGCAAAACUAGUGAAGAGAAUAUAUAUAUAUGGAAAACCUAGUCGCAUAAUGGUUAAUAGCUAUAGCUGCUAACCAAAAGGUUAGCAGUUUGAAUCCACCAGGCGCUCCUUGGGAACUCUGUGGGGCAGUUCUACUUUGUCCUGUAGGGUCACUAUGAGUUGGAACCGACUCUAUGGCAAUGGGUAUAUAUAUAUAUACACACACACACAUACACACAUACAUAUAUAUAUGCAUACAUAUGUUAGUUGUGGCUGUUAGAUGCCAUCGAUCCUGUGUAAAACAGAAUGAAACACCACCUGAUCCUGAACCAUCCUCACAAUCAUUGCUAUGUUUGAGCCCAUUCUUGCAGCCAUUGUGUCAGUUCAUGUUGUUGAGCACCUUCCUCUUUUUUUCUGACCCUCAGCUUUUCCAAGCAUGAUGAGCCUCUCCUGGGACAGGUCCCUCCUGAAAAUAUGUCCAAGGCACGUGAGACGAAGUCUCGCCAUCCUUGCUUCUAAGGUGCAUUCUUGGUGUACUUCUUCCAAGAUGGUUUUGUUUAUUCUUCUGGCAGUCCAUGGUAUAUUCAGUAUUCUUUGCCAACACCGUAUUUUAAAUGAAUCAGUUCUUCGGUUUUCCGUAUUCAUUGUCUAACUUGCUCAAGCAUGUGAGGUGAUAGAAAAUAUCAUGGCUUUGCUCAGGCACACCUUAGUCCUCAAAGUGACAUCUUUCUUUCUCAACACUUCAAGGAGGUCUUUUGCAACAGAUUUGCCCAAUGCAAUACAUUGUUUGAAUUCUUGACUGCUGCUUCUGUGGGCAUUGAUUAUGGAUUCAAGUUAAAUGAAAUGCUUGAUGACUUCAGUAUUUUCUCUGUUUAUCAUGGUGUUGCUUACUGGUCCAGUUGUGAGAAUUUUUGUUUUCUUUAUGUUGAGGUGUAAUCCAUACUGAAGGGUGUAGUGGUUGCUCUUCAUCAGUAACUGCUUCAAGUCCUCUUUACUUUCAGCAAGCAAGGUCGUAUCAGCUGCAUAUCAUAGGUUGUUAGUGAAUCUUUCUCCAAAACUAAUGCCAUGUUCUUGUUCUUCGAGACCAGCUUCUCAGAAUGUUUGCUCAGCAUACAGAUUGAGUAAGUAUGGUGAAAGGAUACCACCAUGACACAUAACUUUCUGAUUUUAAACCACACGGUAUCCCCUUGCCCUACUCAAAUGACUGCCUCUUGGUCUAUGUAGAUAUUCCGCAUGAAUACAGUUAAGUGUUCUGGAAUUCCCAUUCUUUGCUAAGCUAUCCAUAAUUUGUCAUGAGCCACACAGUUGAGUGUGCUUGUAUAGGAAACAAAAAUAGGUAAACAUCUUACUGAUAUUCUCUACUUUCAGCCAAGAUCCAUCAGACAUCAGAAAUGAUAUCCCACGUUCCAUGUCUUCCUCUGAAUCCAGCUUGAAUUUUUGGUAGUUGCCUGUCUGUGUACUGCUGCAACUGUUUUUAAAUUAUAUUCAGCAAAAUUUUUCUUGCGUGGGAUGUUAAUGACAUUGCUCGAUAAUUUCCGCAUUGCGUUGGACCACCUCUCUUUGAAACGGGUACACAUAUAGAUCUCUUUCAGUCAUUUGGUCAGGUAGCUGUCUUCCAAAUAUAUUGGAAUAGUCAAGUGAGCGCCUCCAGCACUGCGUCCCUGUGUUGAAACAUCUCAUUUGGUACUCCAUCAGUUCCUGGAGCCGUGUUUUUUGCCAAUGCCUUCAGUGCAGCUUGGAGUUCUUCCUUCAGUACCAUCAGCUCUUGAUCCAAUGCUACCUCCUGAAAUGGUUGAACGUCGACCAAUUCUUUUUGGUGUAUUGAGUCUGUGUAUUCCUUCCGUCUUCUUUUGAUGUUUCCUGUGUUGUUCGAUAUUUUGCCCAUAGAAUCCUUCCUUCAGUAUUGCACCUAGAGGCUUGAAUAUUUCCUUCAGUUCUUUCAGUUUGAGAAAUGCCAGGUGUUUUCUUCCCUUUUGGUUUUCUAACUCCAGAUCUGUUCACAUUAUUAUUAUCAUACUUUGUCUUCUCCAGCUUCCCUUUCAGGUAUUCUGUUGAGCUCUUUUACUUUAUUUUUCCUUCCAUUCUCUUUAGCUACUGUACAUUCAAGAGCAAGAUUCAGAGUCUCUUGUGACAUCCUCUUUGGUGUUUGCUUUCUUUCCUGUCUUUCUAAUGACUUUUUGUUUUUUUCAUAUAUGAUGUCCUUGCUAUCAUCCCACAACUAAUCUGUCUUCGAUCAUUAGUGUGCAGUGCAUCAAAUCUAUUCUUGAGAUGGUCUCUAAAUUCAGGUUUGAUAUACUCAAGGGCAUACUUUGACUCAUGGACUUGUUUUAAUUUUCUUCAGCUUCUACUUGAACGUGAAUAUGAGCAACUGAUCAUCUGUUCUGAAGUCAGCCCCUGGCCUGAUUCUGACUCAUGGUAUUGACCUUCUCCAUCAUCACCUUCCACAAAUUUGAUUCCUAUCUAUUCUGCCUGGAAUGGUUCACGAGUAUAGUCACCAUUUAUGUUCCUGACGAAAGCAGGUGAAGGCAUUCGUGGAGAGAGGCAAUUUCCAUGCGUGCAGGCAAAGUGUGUGCUGAGAUGAUGAGUUGCUGGAGACCAGGGUGGACUCUUCAGACCCAGAAUAGGCCUCUGACAGGCACUCUGUCAGGCACUCCAAGGUGUGAAGUGACAAGGGGGAGAAGGAAGAGAUUUCAGAGAACGAACACAUCCAGAGAGACAGGCAAGAGAUGGAGGAGAAGGCAUUCGUGGAGAGAGGCAGAUUCCAUGUGUGCAGGCAAAGUGUGUGCUGACAUGAUGAGACCCUGGAGACCAGGGUGGACGCUUCAGACCCAGGAUAGACCUCUGGCAGGUCAAAGAACUGGAAGAAAAAGGCCGUCUGAGAUGAAAGAAGCAAAAGAGAGGAGAGGGUUCUUAACCUGGGGAGAACAGCGAGAACACAGGUAUGGAUGUGAAGAGGGAAAUUCAGGCCCAGGCUCAACAGUGGACAAAAAAGACCAAGUCUCAGUCACAACAUCAAAUCUCAGGUGUGGGGAAGCCCUGGACAUGACAGGGAUGCAUCCAUCUCUCUGGGAGAUGAGACCGCAGAGGGCAGAGGAAAGGAGGGCAGGGCCUCUAGGAUGGGCACCUCCAUCCACAGGCUGUCCUGUGUGUAUGCCUCAGAGUGACAGAGACAGCUCCUGUGAGGGAGAGGGCCACAGGCAGAGAAGAGCCAAGGUGUUCAGACCAGGUAAAUUCUGCAGUCUCCUAAGGAUCCAGAACAAAAAAUCAGAGAUUCUCAGAGGUAUCAGGGUGGGAGGGGUUGGCAUUCCCAGGCUGGGGAGAGGCUGGCUGGGGAGGUACUGCUUUCUGAAGUCUUUUGAUCAACAUCUUUCUUCUUAAAAGCUACUUUCCCAGUUGAUGUCCUCUAUGCUCUAGGCUCAGACCUGAAAAGGGCCUCGAAUGCACAAAGGCGGGUUAUACAGUGGGUCAAGGCAGGGAGGAGGUGGUACCAGCACAUCCAGGAAAGAGAAUUUUCCGGAGCCUCAUGAGUUACCUAGUGAAUCGCACAUGGUGUCCAGCCUUCUACAUUUAGCUGUAGACAUGUGCUUGCAAACGUGUUUGAGGGGUAACUCUACUGACUUCCCAAAAUUAUUUUUGGUCAUUUCCAGUUAUAGAGACCAGAAGAGCUCACUGGUUCCAAGAACAAGAAGAAAUGCACUGGAUCUGAUUAUUACUGUCUGUGGUGUGCUCUCCUUCAAGUGAUUCAAAUCUUUUGUCUGUCAUUAUAGAAAAUUUUCACCUAUUUAAAAUAUCUAACGAAACACAUUAAAAUAUACAUGUAUCUAUGAUGUUUAUCAAUUUCCGAAGUUCUGAAAUUGUUUUUUAUUACAUUUUCAAGAUUACAGAUUUGUAUGACAAAAAAGUUACAUCAGGGUCCCACCCUCGUAUGUAAUUUGCUCCCACUCCCACAAGGUAUCCAAUGUUAAUAGACACAUAUGUGUCCUUCCCUACACUUCUCUGCAGGGACACAUAUACACAGUCACAGGUACACAAGUACAUCUGCUGGGAUGUUUGCUUUUAUGGAAACUUGGUCUCACUCUAUCCACAUUGCUCUUGCCCCUUCUUUCACUUGACAUUCUACCUUGAUUCUCUGUAAGUCAUUAGAUAUGGCACUAACACUAUAUUUUUGGGUCUUUAACUUACAUGAAUAAUUUAAAUAGAUGAUAUCAAUUCAGUACACUUUAUCGGGACUUGUACAUGUUGUUGUUAGAAGCUAUCAAGUCAGUUCUGACUCACAGUGACCCUAGGCACCACAGAACAAAACUCGGCCGGUCACUGCAAUCCUAAUAAUCGUUGCUAUAUUUGAGCACACUGUUGCAGCCAUUGUAUCAAUCUCAUUGAGGGUCUUCCUCUUUUUCCCUGGACCUCUGCUUUACUAAGCAUGAUGUCCUCUUCCAGGGACUGGUCCCUCUUGGUAACAUGUCCAAAGCCAUCCUUACUUCUAAGGAAUAUUCUGGCUUUCUCUGCUCAAGACAGAUUUAUUUGUCCAUACAUAACACCACUAAAAUGGAAACAUUAUUAUCCAUGCUUUCUAAGUCCACUCUUCCUGCAUGUUCUAACUCUCCUCCCCCUGUUCUUUCCCACAAGUGAAUCCAAGGUAAUUCAGGUUAACAAUGUGGUAAGUAGUCUCUCUUAUCCUUCUUAAACAAGCCCACACAGACUUGCAUGUACCCUCGUCUUCUCAUUUAUACACACACAUAAACAUAAACAGGUAUUCAAGCAUAUUCAAACAAUUGAUAUUGUUUAACCCAGAUGUCCUCAUUUUAUAUACAUUUCUCUGCACCUUGAUUGUUUCAGUAAUACUUCCAUAAUACUUCAUAGAGAUUUCUCCCACUCAACUACUACAACUCUUUUUCAUUCUAAUGACUCCCUGUUUUAUUGAGGAUGUAGCUUUACCAUAAGUUAUCUAUCAUUCCACCAUCAAUGGACAGUCAAAGUUUGGUCAUAUUAAUAAUAACUAUCCUUUGUGUACUACAGGAUUUGUUUCUGUGGAAUAGACUCCACAGAGUGAGAUUUCCAAUUCAAAGAAUGUUAAAAGUACAGAGCCACGGCCAUAUCUUUCCCCUAGAGGCUGCCAUAAUGCACCUCUCCAGCCACCUCUCAGGGCAUCCUUCUCCCCACAGCCCAGCCAGCCAUAGGUGGUGCUGAUUUUCAAAUUGUGCCAGUUUCACUGGCAGUUUGAUAUUUUCUGAACUUGGACUAUGUUUACUGGGCAUGUGGAUUUACUCUGAAUGAACUGUUUGAAUUCACUGCUCAUUGUUCAAGUGCGUAACUUUUAUCCUUCUGUGUAAAAUGGAAAUUGUUAUUAAGGCUUGUCAUCUCCAUUUCACAUGAUUUCCCAAAUCUAUGAUUUGUGUAUCACAUUUUUGCAAGCUUUGUGCCCCAGAACGAUCACUUGAGUCAGCACCAUUUAUUAAAUAAAUAUAAUUUUCUUGAAAUACGACCUUUGUAAGUUAUUGUGACUUCUUAACAGAUUUUGUUUCAUUGGUCGACUUGUCAGCUUCUAUGCUAUGUAAUAUCAAUUUGUUCUGUUACCCGAAGAGGUAGACACCUGUCACUAUCCUGCUUUUUCAUGUUUUACUUUGGUAAAACCGCCCUGGUUUUGCAGCGAUUAAGUGCUCAACUGCUAGUCCAAAGAAAGUGUGGCAGGUCGAACCCACCAGGUGUCCCCAAGGGAGAAAGACCUGGUGUUCUGCUCCCAUAAUGAUUACAACCUAGAAAACCCUAUGGGGCAGUCAAAUGGGAUGGCUUUGAGUCAAAAAUUGCCUCCAAGUCUCGUAACAACAGGAAUAUUCUUUGUUAUCUAUUCUUUGUUAUCUACUGUAGUAUUUGUAGCAUAUGAUUACUGUAUACAGUUCAAAAACAACUAUCUUAAUAUUCUGGCUAGAAAUGCAUUCCACUUAUAUAUUAGUUUUAAGGACCUCCAUUUAAUCGACAAGACGUUCCAUUUGAAAAUAUGGCAUAUUUUUGCAUAUAUUCAGGUUUCAUUUUAUGUACUUUAAUACACUGUUUUCCCUCAUAGAGGUCCUUUGCUGCUCUGGUUAAAACAAUGUUUUGCUAAAUAUUUUACAGUUUUGGACACAGUGUGGUACAGUCAAGUAGUAGGGGAAAGAGAACGGUCUGCCCUUCCCACCCUUGCCAAUUUUAGACCCUUAUUCUAUACUGGAGAGAAACCAUUGAUUUUGAUGCAUUUGUCUUUUAUGCAGGUAUAUAUCAUCAUUAUUUUAAAUAUCUCUUUUAAUACUUGUACUAGUUAUUUAAAUUUUCUAGUUUAUUCCUUCACCUAAAAACUAUGUUGAGUGAUAGCAAAAUUUUUGUCUAGUUCCAAAUUUAUCGGAAUGGGUUUAAUAUUUUUCCAUUUAUCUCACACCUGAUAAGUUUGGGGAGAAUUUGUUAUGCACCAAGAGAUAACUAAUACUCUGAGCUACUGACCUUUAUGGUAAUCUACACACGACUUGUUUCUGACAGUUAAGUACUUCCACCUGGCCUCUGUUCAGCUGGGAUACCAUGAUUUACAUUGCUACUAGGCUGCCCAGCUCCCACUAAAACCUGAGCCUAUAGAGAAUUGUUCUUGUUAGCUGUCAUCAAGUCCUUUCUGACUCAUGACCACCCCAUGUGGGCAUAGUACAAGUGUUCAAUAGGGUUUUCAAGGCUGUGAUCCUUUAAAAGCAGAUCGUCAGGACUGUCUUCUGAGGUUCUUUUGGUUAGGUUCAAACCUCCAAACUUUCAGCUAGUAUAGAACACUUAACUGUUUGUGGCACCCAGGGACCCCCUGCAAAGGAUACAUAUUGGGUAAGCUCCAUGUUGCUGGUGCUCCCCUCAUCUCCACGUUCCUUAUUCUUUUGAUGAAAUGGGUGUCCUUCAGGACCUCCAAGAAAUGCCCACAUAUUGGAGGCUUUUAUUUCUUCUUCCAACACCCGACACAGUAGGUCUGGCAUUUCAAUUUCAUAGAAUUUGGGCCGUUGCCUUUUCCAACCUUCCAAAAGCAAUCCCACAGCAUAUUAAACCCAUUUCCAGAACCCUUGCUACGGCAAUAAAUCCUUGUCAACAAACUCUCCUUGACCCAACUUUAUAUUAAACUCCCCUUGACUCAGUACCUUCAGCACU